AAUCUUCCACAAUGGGCGAAAGCCUGAUGGAGCAACGCCGCUUGAUUGAAGAAGGAUUUCGGUUCGUAAAACUCUGUUGUAAGUGAAGAACAAGUACAGUAGUAACUGGCUGUACCUUGACGGUACCUUAUUAGAAAGCCACGGCUAACUACGUGCCAGCAGCCGCGGUAAUACGUAGGUGGCAAGCGUUGUCCGGAAUUAUUGGGCGUAAAGCGCGAGGAGGUGGAUUCUUAAGUCUGAUGUGAAAGCCCACGGCUCAACCGUGGAGGGUCAUUGGAAACUGGGAGACUUGAGGGCAGAAGAGGAUAGUGGAAUUCCAAGUGUAGCGAUGAAAAGCGUAGAGAUUUGGAGGAACACCAGUGGAGAAGGCGAAUAUCUGGUCUGUAACUGACACUGAGGCGCGAAAGCGUGGGGAGCAAAC
rnacentral:rRNA from 1 species